AUUGUAGUCUGCAACUCGACUACAUGAAGCUGGAAUCGCUAGUAAUCGCGAAUCAGAAUGUCGCGGUGAAUACGUUCCCGGGUCUUGUACACACCGCCCGUCACACCAUGGGAGUUGGGAAUGCCCGAAGUCAGUGACCCAACCGUAAGGAGGGAGCUGCCGAAGGUGGAGCCGGUAACUGGGGUGAAGUCGUAACAAGGUACC
rnacentral:rRNA from 1 species